UACGUAGGGUGCGAGCGUUAAUCGGAAUUACUGGGCGUAAAGCGUGCGCAGGCGGUGAUGUAAGACAGGUGUGAAAUCCCCGGGCUUAACCUGGGAAUGGCAUUCGGGACUGCAAGGCUGGAGUGCGGCAGAGGAGACUGGAAUUCCUGGUGUAGCAGUGAAAUGCGUAGAUAUCAGGAGGAACACCGAUGGCGAAGGCAGGUCUCUGGGCUGACACUGACGCUCAUGCACGAAAGCGUGGGGAGCAAACAGG
rnacentral:rRNA from 1 species